rnacentral:rRNA from 1 species
AUUGAACGCUGGCGGCGUGCUUAACACAUGCAAGUCGAUCGGUAACAGGUGUAGCAAUACAUGCUGACGAGAGGCGGACGGGUGAGGAAUAUUUGGGAAUCUGCCCAUCAGCGGGGGACAACCCGGGGAAACUCGGGCUAAUACCGCAUACGCUCUACGGAGGAAAGCCGGGGACCGCAAGGCCUGGCACUGAUGGAUGAGCCCAAAUCGGAUUAGCUAGUUGGCGGGGUAACGGCCCACCAAGGCGACGAUCCGUAGCUGGUCUGAGAGGACGAUCAGCCACACCGGAACUGAGACACGGUCCGGACUCCUACGGGAGGCAGCAGUGGGGAAGAUUGGACAAUGGGGGAAACCCUGAUCCAGCGACGCCGCGUGGGUGAAGAAGGCCUGCGGGUUGUAAAGCCCUUUCGGUAGGGAAGAAAUCUCUUGUCUUAACACGGCAAGGGUUUGACUUAACCUACAUAAGAAGCACCGGCUAACUCUGUGCCAGCAGCCGCAGUAACAC